UCUCAGGGGCUGAGUCACUCUCCUCCUGGGCUAUAGGUCAUGAGCCUGGAAAAGUGACCUCUCCUUAAGCAUGGCUCAAGCUCUCAGGUAAUCACCUUACUUCUCCCAAUGCUCCACCAGGGAUCAGAUAAAAAAGAAAAAACCUGAAAUGAAGUCGACGUCAUUGACUGAAAACACUGCCACAGUGCGUCCAGGGGAACAGAGAUGGGACCUUUUCAGCCAACACCGGAGGCAGAUCAGGACGGAGCAGCAGAUGAAGAUGAUAAGAAGGAGCAGCAUGAGGCACCUGAAGCCAAAGAAAGCACAGGAGGGUAUGAGGAGAGAGCAGUUGAGACUCCAUGAAAAAUCUGUUUAAAAUGACGUUCCUCCAGUUCCCCUCAUCAUCAAAGGCUUCUAAAACUGACCAGAGAGUGUCCUUACCAGAUGUACCAGUCACUGAGGGGUUGGUCAUCGUGGCUCUCACACCUGUUAAAGCAAGGACAGAGGUCAGACUCUGAGACUGGCAGCAGCAUCUAGGAACAAACACCCAGUGGUGCCAUCCCUGGGCUUUAGAGCUACAAAGCUCUUAGGAGCCAAAUAUCUUAACCCUACAUUUUACAAAUGAGCAACUGAGGCACAGAGUGGUGAAAUACCUUGCCAGGUCACCUAGACAAUAACUGGCAGAGCCAGAGUUUCAGGAGAUCCUGGCUGGAAGAAGAACUGGGAAAAGUCCUCCAAAGCCUCAUUCUACAAAUGAAGAGCUGUGGUAUUCCAUCAGGCAGGUGACCACAUUUUGUCCAAGGAGACACAGGGUAAGUGGGAAAAGCAGGAUUGGAGCCAGCUGCUCUAACUUCCCACUCACUCCUCUUUCUGUCCCUUGCUUUCUUCACAAGAUAUUUAUUAAAUGUGCCUUUCUCCACCAGCCCUAGACCUUCUGUCCCCCAACAGUAACUGCUUCCAAUUACAUACUCAGAGAUGAAAAAUUCUUGUGCUCAAGGAACUUAUAUUCAAAAUAAGGAGACAAUAGAAAUAUCUACUUUUAUACAGAAGAAAUCCAAGACACCUGAAAGGUUGCUGGGGCAGAGGUGGGGAGGAAGAGAGAAAGGGGAGAGAGAAAUCAGAACAGGUUUCCUUUAGAAAAUGAUGUUUGAAAUGAGUCUUGAAGAAACCCAAGGAUUCAAAGAAAUAGAGUUGAGGAAGGAUAGUUAUUCAAGUGGAAGGAAUAACCAGGGCAAAUCCUUGGAAAAGAGAGAUUAAGUGUUAUCCAGAGCAGAAGAAUAAAUAAGCCAGUAUGGCUGAAUCAAAGAGUCUAGGAAGGACAGUAAUGUGCAAGAAAACUGAAAAAGGCAAGGAGAGAACCGAUUGUGAAAUGUUAUAAAUGCCCAAUGGAGGAGAUGAUAUUUAAUUGUGCAGGUCGGGUCUGGACUCAAGGCCUGAAACAGAGAUUUAUAACAAUAAACACUGAGCAUCUUAUCAGCCUAAUCCUCUUCAUCCAAAUGGUACCUGGAGACAAAUAUGGGCUUAUUGAGCUUCCUUUGUUUUUUAAUUAAAAGCUCUGGAGGAGAAGAGCACUUUUGAAAGAAAAGGGAAAUUCUAGUGAAAAAAGAACAUUUUCUACUUAUUUUUUUUUCCCUUGUACUGAAUAAGGAAGGGAUAUCUAUUUUCCACUCAAUCUCAAUUUUCCCCUUUUCCCCAAGUACAGUCUGGGGACUGGUUUGGAAGUCUUUCUUCUUCUGGGUCAUUUUUUGCUUUGGAUAUGAGUUGGAAAUCC